GGGAGCAUAGCUCAGCCGGGAGAGCACAUGCCUUACAAGCAUGGGGUCGCAGGUUCGAGCCCUGCUGUUCCCACCA
rnacentral:tRNA from 1 species